ACGAGCCUAGUAAUUUAAGUAAUGAUUAUACGGGGUGCACUGGGGCUCUGGACAAGGGCGUCGUCCCACGCAGGCUGAUGCGAGUAGCAGGAUGUAAGAUGAGGAAGCGUCAUGUAGCGAGCAUGAUGCUACACGGAUGAGUCGGGAGAGCCAGUUUCCAGAAGCGGCGUUCCUCGUUCCCUCUGCUCAGUGCCCUGGAGUCCUGACCGCAGCAACGUGACUGGCAUCUGAGCAUUUCAAAGAAAUGCUGAUGGCAAGUUUUUGGAAGCAGAAAUUGGAACUGGGGCCAGGUGUGCUGUGGUUGGGCCAGCCAACCCUGUUCUCUUGGGGCAUUCAGGGAUGCAUCUGAAUUCUUCAAUGCCUGGAUGGAGCAGCUGUUGCCCUGGCCCGAGAGCCUAUCUGGAGAUUGAGACACAAGCUGUUCAGUCACUCCUCUUCCCAGGGAAGACCUUGUAACGGUGCCAUGUGAGUGGGUGGUGCUGGGGGAACUGCACUGCACAGCUAUCAACGAGAUGCCAUGACCCAGCUGCUGAAACCUCCACGCAUGGCCAUCUUACCUAGGUCUUGAAACUGGAAGUCCCAAGGGGAACCAGCAUGGUUGGUUCUGGUGAAGGGGUCUCUCUCAGUGGUGGGAGCUACUUACUAUGUCCUCACAAUGGGAAGAAAUAGGGCACCCUGGUGUCUUUUCUUCUUUUCAGUGACUCCCCCUUGUUGAGACCCACUUUUAUCAAUUCCCAACUAUUCCCUAAAGCUGUCGCCUGGGGGUCAGGUUUCAAUCCUGAACUUGAGGACAAAGAAUUCGGUACCACCGAGGCUGUCGAAAGGCCUAUCCUGGUGCUGGGCAGCUUAGUGACCAGUAGGAGGCAUUACAAGGUGACCAGCUGCUCUUUCUCCUGGGGAAUGAGCAGCUACCAUAGAGAUGUUUUUUCUGCCUUUGUACGUAGGUUGACCCUGGGAUGGAGUUUUGGGGUUUUUUUUGUUGUUGUUGUUCAUCGUUUGGUUGGUUUAGUUUUUCUGAGACAGUGUUCCUGCGUGUACCCCUCUGGCUGUCUUGGAACUUGCUCUGUAGGGUAGGCUGGUCUCCAGCUUUGAGUUCCUCCUGGCUCUGCUGGAAUUAAAGGAGUGCAUCACCACUGCC
rnacentral:lncRNA from 1 species